rnacentral:rRNA from 1 species
AUACGUAGGGUGCGAGCGUUGUCCGGAAUUACUGGGCGUAAAGAGCUCGUAGGUGGUUUGUCGCGUCGUCUGUGAAAUUCCGGGGCUUGACUCCGGGCGUGCAGGCGAUACGGGCAUAACUUGAGUACUGUAGGGGAGACUGGAAUUCCUGGUGUAGCGGUGAAAUGCGCAGAUAUCAGGAGGAACACCGGUGGCGAAGGCGGGUCUCUGGGCAGUAACUGACGCUGAGGAGCGAAAGCAUGGGUAGCGAACAGGAUUAGAUCCCCUGGUAGUCCAUGCCGUAAACGGUGGGCGCUAGGUGUAGGGGUCUUCCACGACUUCUGUGCCGUAGCUAACGCAUUAAGCGCCCCGCCUGGGGAGUACGGCCGCAAGGCUAAAACUCAAAUGAAUUGGCGGGG